CUAUUGUCAAAGGUGACUUCUAUUCACUCAUUUUUAAUCCUUUGUGAUCAAUAUAAAAAUGUAACUACUUUUAUAUUUAUCUUCUUUGCAGCCACUUUUCUCAACAUGUUGAUUUGGAACUCUCUCCCCUUCUUUAGACUCCACUUUGCCUCCUCUUCAUCUUCAAACUCCACUAGAGAGGAGUCAAUCAGACUCUACUCCUUUCAUGCCUCACUGACAUUUCUCUUUCCCUAAUCAUUCCACAAGCCCCAAGGUUAUCCUCUUUGUCAAGUUCAGUGGCCUCAUGUCAGCUCCUGCCUUCCUCACGAUCUCUGAUUGAUCUGGUACAGUGGCUGGUCUAGUCCCAUUGUUCUUGGAAUCUGUUCUCUGGCAUUUUGCCCCCUCUCUCUCUAACUGUUCCUCACCAGUCUCCACCAUACUCCUGAAAUCUGAUUUUACUCAGGACCCAUCCUAUUUCCUAUUCUUGGGCUCAACUCUACAGUAUACAUCUUACUGAAAGACUUGGAGACUGCAAUUGCUCUAACUGGUAGCUGUGCUAUAACAAUAUUUUUACAUUCAGCCAAAACCAUAUAUUACAGAGUAUAAAGCAGAAUUUAAAAUUGAAGUCUUCAAGGAGACUUUUCACUUGAAGCAAACAUUUAAAUCUGUGAUACAAACUCACACUUCAGUUCUCUUUUAGAUAUAUUUUGGUAGAAAGUUUUGAGAAAUGGUAUCCUAGAGAAUCAAAUCAUCACUUCUCAAAAUACAGUAGGAUGUACAGAUUCAACACUCCACAUCCACAGUCUUAUUUCUUCAAUUCCAUCCUGCAAUCAAAUAGACCUGGGGCAUAUCCAACAGAGCCUGACUGUAGUUGUAAACCUCGAGGGGGAACCACAACUUAUCACAAACUGGGCUGCCUAGAAUGUGGCAUUUUUAUGUACGAAUGUGUAGAUUUCUUUGCCUUCUAGACAAUUUUUGAAAUCAAAUGAAAUGCCAAAUAGUAGGAUCUUGCUAUGAUCUCCCACUGGACUAAAAUAAGAAUAAGAGCAUCAAAUAAAUAGAAUUUGAGAAGUACGUUUCAAUCAAUUGUUUUAAGCUUAUUUUUCCCAUGGCUUAGCUAUUGUGAAUUGAGCGGCUAUAAAUAUUGAUGUUGCCAUGUCACUACAGUAUGCUGAUUACAAGUCCUUUGGGACUUAUCGAGAGGUGGAAAAACUAGGUCAAAUGGUAGUUCCAUUCCAAGUUUUCUGAGGAAUCUCUGUACUGCUUUUCAGAGUGGUUGCACCAAUUUGUAGUCUUUUUUCCCAUACUAAUUAGAAUAAGUUAUAAUCCAGGUACAUACAAUAUGUCAGACAGAAUACAUACCAUUGUCAUAUAAUACCUAAAAAGAACUAAUAGAAAUUUAAAAAAAUAAAAGUUUAUUUUUUUCUGUUAGCAUUGUAAAUAAUUUAUGUAAACUGAGAAUGCUUAUAAUGACAACCUACUUUCUAAUUAAUAGCUCACAUUAGAAUAAUAUUCACCUUGGAAUCAAUUUUUUUUCCUCCUGGAUCACUACCAAAACAUAAGUAAUUGCAGUCCAAAUGACAAUUUGUUUAUGAUUUCUUCCCAAAGAAAUCAUACAAUUCUCAGUAGCGUCUCUUCCAGAUGCAAUAUGUCAGCACUUCACCAUUUUUUCUGAGUGACAUUGCUACAUGUCCACUCAAAUAAAAAUCAAAUCCCAUCUGGGCUGAUCACUUGGCUAAAAUAACAAGUUUCCUGAUGGGUGUUUGUUUUAAUAUGGAAUUUCAUCCCAGAAAUCCACAAUCAGGAAUAUUGUAUUUUAGGGCUUAUAUGUAGAGAAAAGCCCGUUGACUUUUGUUUUUGUUGUUAUUUUGUUUAUGUAUUUGGUGUGGCAGAAUUUACUGGACCACUUCUGUCAUCCUUAGUAUCUGGGCCAGCAAUUUCAAUUCCAUUAGUCAUGGAUAAAGAGACUGUGAGAUACAGGGGAACCCAUUAAUUUAAUUACAAUAUAAUCAUAUUCUAUCAGUAUUGCCAUUUUAACUUAACUUUUCCUCACUCAACAGUUUAUUAGUGGUAUAAUUUUAUUCUGAACAGAUAGGGUUCUUUUUCCAUUCAAUCUAUGAUAAGAUCACAAACAUUGACCAGCUCUAACUUCAUUUUCUUUUUUUUUUUUUAAUGUUGGAACUUUUAAACAUUUUUUUAUUACAUGUUUCCUUUUCAAUAUGAAUUAAAUGACAUUUUAACAACUCUGAAUCAUAAAUUAUUGAAUAAGCCUGAAUAAUAUUUUGAACAUUAUUAAAAUCAAACUUUUAAUAAACCAAAAGUUAAACAAAAGGUUUCACUGUGAGUCUCCAAAAACUGAAAUCCCACCCAUACUGGUACAAACUUCAGUACUGAUAAACCUGAAUUCAUAUAACUGAAAAUGACUGGCUCCACUCCUGGGCACAUCUCCUCUAUUUCGUUUUGGGUUUUCAGUUUUCAAAAAGAAAGCAUUACAUCUGACUUCAGAAUCAAUUUUCAUUUAGUAUUUUAGGUUGAGGUUUGAAUGAAUAAGAUUUUUUUCACACACACACACACACACACACACACACACACCAGAAAUAAAAUCCUCUUUUGGUUUGAUUUCAUGUUGACCAGUCUUCAACCAGUCUAGGGAUAACCUUCAAUAAUCUUCAAUGAUCCUAGUCUUUCCCCCACUCAAUUUACAUCAAAGAGCUGUUCUCUACCCCAACCCCUCAUAAAAUGAGAUGAGCAUUUCAGUUACUUCCAGCAUUUCUCUAUCAGUGUCAAUAUUGCUGUGGAUUUUCUCAUGCAUCGUAUUGUAUACAAGACUUUCUCUUAAGUAGGUGUAGUUUCCUGUAUGAUGGGAUGUGUACAUGGCCAGCCCUAGGAAGUAACAAAAUCCUGUUUAGGGAAUGCUUCUGUAAUGUACAGAUCUAACAGCAGUGCAUAACAGCUCUUCCUGGCCCUUGAUAAGGGGAUGUAUCCCAGUUUUUGCCAAUCAAAUAAAUACAAAAUGGUGUCAUAUUAUGAUUUUUAUUUGCAUUUCUUCUAUCACCAUUGCUGUUGCUUUUUUCAGACAUUAAUUAGAAAUAGUCACAUUAUCUUCUCUGGGCUUACUAUUCACAGCUUUUCCCACUUUUUAAUUGGGUGGCUUGUACUUUCCAUAGUGAUGUUCAGAAAUUUUAAAAAUCUCUUCUGAAUACUAAUUGCUUUCAUUAAUGUUUUUAAUGAGAAUAUCUUCU
rnacentral:lncRNA from 1 species